rnacentral:rRNA from 1 species
AUUCCAGCUCUGAUAGUAUAUAUUAAAGUUGUUGCAGUUAAAAAGCUCGUAGUUGAAACUUGGGUGUGUAGGGGCGGCCUCUUUUAGAGUACUACCCUGAAACAUCUUUCUUUGGUGUAAACUCUUUAUUCACUUAAGGAGUGUAAACCAAACAUUUACUUUGAAAAAAUUAGAGUGUUCAAAGCAGGCCUUUGCUCGAAUAUAUUAGCAUGGAAUAAUAGAAUAGGACGUAUGGUUCUAUUUUGUUGGUUUCUAGGACCGUCGUAAUGAUUAAUAGGGACGGUCGGGGGCAUCAGUAUUCAGUUGUCAGAGGUGAAAUUCUUGGAUUUACUGAAGACAAACUACUGCGAAAGCAUUUGCCAAGGACGUUUUCAUCA